AGAUAAUGCUUGGUCCAAAAGUUUUACCGAAAUGGAUGGGUAAAAAUCUACAAUGUCAAACGAAAUAAAACUAUAUGUCUUUCUUUGUCCUUUAUAUUUCCAAACCAUUCAAUUACUUAAUUGAAACAUAGUUUUAUUUCGUUUGACAUCGUCGAUUUUUACUCAUCCAUUUCGGAAAAACUUUUGGACCAAGCAUUAUCU